GUGAUUUCUGCCACAUAGAUCAUAAAGCCAUUUGGUGAUGAAGUGGGAGCUGGACUGAAUUAUUACUCUCAAAAAAAAAUAUAAGAGGAAAUACAACUUGUGAAAAGUAAUGGAAAACGAGCUUGGCUUGCUGUCAGUGAAGGAGGCUCGAACCCGAGGCUCAGCUCCGAUGCAUAAGUUCGAGUGAGAACAGACCAGGAAAGUCAAACACAGAUACCCAGGCAGCUCCAUUUUAGGAAAAACACCCAAUGCAACAUUGU
ensembl:lncRNA